UACGGGGGGGAGCAAGCGUUGUUCGGAUUUACUGGGCGUAAAGGGCGCGUAGGCGGUCGUGACAAGUCACUUGUGAAAUCUCCGGGCUUAACUCGGAACGGUCAAGUGAUACUGUCGGACUAGAGUACAGAAGGGGCAACUGGAAUUCUCGGUGUAGCGGUGAAAUGCGUAGAUAUCCGGAGGAACACCAGCGGCGAAGGCGGCGUCCUGGACUGGUACUGACGCUCAGGAGCGAAAGCGUGGGGAGCGAGUCCGG
rnacentral:rRNA from 1 species